ACAACUAUGCCUUCAGGAAUCAUUUCUAUAGUUCGUUCCUAAAGAAUUUAUAGUUUCUCUAAUCUUUAAUAGUAUUAGAAACCAUGAGGAAGAGGUCCAGAGUUCCCUCCUGAAGGUGAAGCUCUUGGUGUUGCUUUACUGCAACUGCUCUUUUGCCACUGAUGACUGUUCUUCUUCCCCUUUAGAACAGUGAGAGGGGAGAAAUCUCCAGAUU
ensembl:snoRNA U3 Small nucleolar RNA U3